rnacentral:lncRNA from 1 species
UCUCUCAAGACUCCAUCAAUGACUCAACCCUAGAGCACCGCCGCCGACGGUAACCCUGUCUGUUCCUCGCCAUCAUUCUCUGACCCUCUCUUCUCUCUUCUCCCCUAAUGCCGAACAGGUCACUUCAACACUUAGUGUAGUGCACAUCGCCGGGCGGGGCAGUCCCUGGCACCGGGAGAACGACGACCUACUCCGGCCUCACGGGAUGCAGUACUUGGGCGCACCAAUGUGCGGUCCGCGGUUUGAGUCAGUUCAAUCCAAUGGUGUUGCACGUGCAGUGCUCUUGCUUGACUCUGAUUUUUGUGAAUCAGGUCGUCGUUUCUACGUGGAUGCAUUUUGUUCUCUCUGAUUUUUUGCUAUGUAGUGAAAAUUGCAUACUUGACUAUGAAGUGGAUGCAAACAGAUCAGUCUCACUCUGUUGGUCGCUCCAUAUAUUAAAAAAAGAUCACUUGAGACGUGUGGAUCUGUUUGUAAAUCUAACAUUGUGCAAUUUUGAACGAACUGUAUUGUAAUUGUUUCCGAAAAGCAGUCCAUUUGGUUAACUAUUUUCUACGUUUUUACAUAUCAAAAAAGGUUUUUGCAGUUAAAAAUGGCACAUUCUUUAUGGUUCACUCCGUGACAUAGUAUUUAUCUGUGUGCACGAAGUGAGCCAACCUUUUCCUCUUGCCGUAGAAAAUUUGAUGCAGCUUACUUGCAUUGACCAUGUAGUCAAAAGAAGCUAAAAACGACGUAGUACACUUUGAUGCAUGUCGGGGUUCACUUGCCCAUUCAUAAAAAAAAGUUGAAAAAAGAAGACAACAAAAGCUCCUAUGAGAAAGUUUACGCUUGACAAAAGAAAUCAUGCAGUGCACUUAUCGGUCUGAUGCAGUGCGGUUUUCUGUCAGAUGCGGUCCACUCGCCCGGUCUAUGCAUGUAAAAAAUAGUGAGUUUGGAAAAAACUCACGCGGUUCACUUUUGGUAUUGUCGCGGCCCAUUUACGGUGGUCUCGAGGUUCACUUUUCAUAGUAUUACGGUUCACCAACACUCGACAUGGAGUGCACUCCACCUCGUUUGAAAAAAUUUAUGUCCCACAAAAAAGAAAUCAUGCAGUGCACUUGUCGGUCUGAUGCAGUGCGGUUCUCAGUCUUAAGCAGUGCGGUUUUCUGACCGAUGUAGUUCACUCAUCGAUUUAGAUGUGUUGCGAAAAACAGAGUGUCCGCAUUUCGCUAAUUUAAAAACUGCUCUUAAACCAUAAGGAAUUACAGAAAGUGUUCUACAUGAAAAAAUUGCGUCUCGUCGAUAUCUUUCCAACGGCAUAUCAUUCGGAUCAUUCAACAAGCGGUUUGUAAAAUUUUUGCGAAAAACAACCACUGCCACUUGUCGUCCGCCGCACCAUUUUCAAAAUUAACUUAAAACCGUAAGGAAUUUCAAAACCAUUUCUACAUAUAAAAGUUGCGCUUUGUCCAUAGCUUUCCAACGACGUAUUACACGCCUCAUUUCAACAAACAGCUCAAAAACUAGAGCGAAAACAGUAUCAAAAAUUGAAAAGAAAUUUUAAAAAAUGUAAUUCCGCGAUUUAGUAAAUUUAAAACUGCUCUUAAAUCAUAACGAAUUAGAGAAAACAAUACAUAUGAAAAAGAUGCGCCUCGACGAUAUAUUUCCAAUGGUGUAUCAUUUGCUUUGUUCCGAUGAACGGUUUAGAAAAAAUCACGAAAAUACGCUCGCUGCCACUCAUCAUCCACCACACCGUUUUCAAAACUGCUCUUAAACUGUGAGGAAUCUCGAAACACGUUCAACAUGUUGAAGUUGCGGCUAAUCCAUAGCUUUCCAACGGUAUAUUAUACGCAUCAUUCCGAUAAACGGUUAAAAAUUAGAGCGAAAAUGGUAUCGAAAAAACACUGCGUGCAGUUUUUUUCGACAUGAAGUUCACUCGCCUGAGUACUGCAGCACACUUGCUUCAAACAAUGACGUGCACUUGCGUUGAGCGUGCAGUGCGGAAGUGUUAUUAGAAUAGUUAUUCUGCUAAUAUUAGCAGAAUAAACUGGCUGUAUAUAUAUAUUUGUGUUCUGUCCUCUACAGCAUUCACUUAUAGCUAUGUCUUCACUCUUGAAUCUUUUGAUCUAAGUGAAUGUGAUCGGACCCUAACCUGUCUAUGCUUCUACCUCAACUCUAUCUGUCCAAAUCAUAUACAUUCUAUUGAAACCUGUCAAUUGUCUUCACUGAGUCCUUGUCAGCUGAUGUCAAUCUGACAAACAUUUAAUCUGUUUUUAAUGCUACAUCAUUAUUGCCUGAAAACCGGAGAAGCCAGAACGACCAUCCGACAAUCUAGGCGCUUAGCUGCCGCGACCUCACCGACGCCGUCCUCACGCCGGCCGCGGACCUUGUCUUCUCCUCCGCCGCCGUAGGUGUCUUUCGUCACCAAGUUAGGGCACGGGAGAUUGAACUGCUCGGCCUCCAACUCCGUUCUGUCUAGCAGUUCUUCGUGUGGUAAUUAAAACUUACUUUUUACUAUCUUUUUGAUCUGGUAGGUUCAUCCUUCUCUACCAAAAGUGGUUUCUAUAAUUCCAAAGUUGAAUCUAUCCUGUUCUACAUCUCAUAUUAUGCCUAGUCUAUUCACUUGUGCUUCACUACAAGUUAGAUUCCUCACUUGUACCUAUUUUUGGAUUCGUACAAAUCUAGAACCAACUCAUAACAAAUAAGUGAAUGUCUUUGCUUAUGAGGUCAAUGUCUUCAAACUGAUUUAUCUUCAAAAUCUUCUGGGAAUGCAUAUGACCUCUUCCCCUUCCCUGGCACCUCUAAUGCUGUCACAGGUACAUGUCCAUGGGAGAAUCCCUUGGUUCUCAUAGUCUGCAUUCAUUUGCAGAAUUCUUACAGAGUCACAUAAAUUCUCCUGAAGCCAGUUCUUGUCUGACCAGCCGUCGGAAGCCUUUGCAAGUUCUGAAGCCAUUCAGUUUAAGCUUCAUGGCAACUGAAAAGUCAGCUAGAAAGGGUGGCAUACAGCGCCGUGGGAAUACAUCCAAAGAUUUGCCAUCAGAUCUGCAUGAAAUGUACAAGACAGACCCUGAAGAAACUUAUGGUGAACGCAAAACUCGAAUCCAAUGGAUUCGAAGAUAUUGGGCUGAAGAGUGGUACAAGUACAAAUUUGUCACGACUGAGUAUGCUAAGAAGAAUGCCAUCAAGCAGCCCUGGGGAGAUAUAUUAUACAAAAAUCUUCAACUGCAGUCCCUGUUUGAAGCUAUUGAUCAAGGCUUCUAUCUGUGCAUGGUUCGCGGAUCACAACCAGAGAAUGCUGACCCAUCUUCUCUGCUAUGGUGUCGAGAAGACAAUCUGUUCAAGCGCAACUUCAAGUUUGCCAAAGAUUCUGCUGUGAAGAACAAGAAGGCAUUUGGACUUGACUUCAACCUCGGUCCAUCUGCUCCUCGGGAUGAUGCCACCCGUGAAGCCAAUGAAAACAGAAUCGGCCCCUUCUACAACCUCAAAGGCCUCAUCACUCACAUUGCAGUCGAAGGUGCUAAUGUGGAUCACUCAGCUGAUGUCGCAGAUUCUGAUGAAGUGCCAGCUCCUCCUAAGCCACAGAAGCAGAAGAAAACUAAGGUUUCAAAACCCUCUGCUGCACCAAAAGCUUCAUGUGUGAAGCCAUUGGCAACUGCCCCUCCUGCAUCAAGUAUGCAAUCUGAAGACCUAUCUCGCAUCUCCAAGAAGACCGAGAAGUCUAGGCAAAAGAAGAAGCCCAUCCUGAGUUCUGGCCAAGCACUGACCCCAGCUGCCAUUCUGAGGAACAAGAAUGAAGCCAUUGAUCUGUCAAGUGACGAUGAUCUUGGUGAAGAUGCUUUGAGCUGCUGAUAAAGAGCAAACAAGAGGCGAAAAUCUUCAACGAUUUCCCCCUCUUUGAUGUGUACAUCCUCAACAACUUCAUUGAUGAGUGGUUUGCCAAUCCGGAUCUCAGCAUAAAUGAUCUUCAACUUCCCAUUGGCAUCAGUGUCGCUUUCCACAGUGCCAUUGCAAAUGAGCUAGCUCUGGCUCAGAAGAUAGUCGAGCUCAAGAACAAGAUUAACUAUGGAAAGGCUCGGUUCAAGAAGCACAUGGACAAGCUCAAUGUCACUGAUGUUCAGAAUUUCAAGAAGUUGCUGCAUGAUCUCAAGGAAGCGUUUCACAAGAAACGUGAAGAGGCAAAAGGUUCAAGAGAGCGGAUGAAACAUCUCGCUGCAAAAUGUGUUCAGGCUCAUAAUGAAGCUAAAAAGCGCAAGGCCUUGGGCAUCCAAGCAUCGACCCCAAGAUGGCUGCCAAAAGGAAGAAGCCUACUAUGACUCAAGCUAAGGCAUCAAGAAUAGAAGCACCUCGCAUUGUCUUCCCUGCCAGCAUGACAGGCUCGAAGCCUAAGGUCCCCACAGUGGCUUCAGAACUGAAGAAGACAAGGGCAGCUGAGGCCGAAGCCACAAAACUCAAGAACAAGAAUGCCUCUGAUGAUGCUCCACUAACCAAGAAGCGGAAGACAAAGUCUUUGAAGAAGAAUCAGGCUGCUCCUUCGGAGCCCCUUCUUGUCGAGCCCCUAUCAGUUGCUCGUCCUGCGUCCCCCCACCAAGAGCGUCAGUUUGUUGUUCACGAGCCUGCUUCCACAGAGGCUCCUGAACCUGAAGAAGUUCCAGCUGUUGACCCCACCGCAGCUGAAGACAUUGGUCCCCAAGACAAUGUAGUAGAUGAUGAAGUUCUUCCUCAGAUCGAGCACCAUAUGGUAUCAUCGCCUGUUCUCACGAACAGUGAAAUCAUCAGCAUUGGUCGUCCCUUGACGCCAAUUGCUUAGGAUGCAUCAUGGGGUGAUCGCCCCCAACCAGAAACUCCAAGUCGAAGCUCACCAAGUACUCCCCCACCUUGAUACGUCUCCAACGUAUCUAUAAUUUUUGAUUGUUCCAUGCUAUUAUAUUACCCGUUUUGGAUGUUUAUGGGCUUUACUUUACACUUUUAUAUCAUUUUUGGGACUAACCUACUAACCGGAGGCCCGACCCGUAUUGUUGUUUUUUUUUGCCUAUUUCAGUGUUUCGAAGAAAAGGAACAUCAAACGGAGUCCAAACGGAAUGAAACCUUCGGGAGCGAUCUUUUUGGAACAAACCUGAUCCAGAGUACUUGGAGUGCAAGUCAAGAAGCAAUCGAGGAGGCCACAAGAGUGGAGGGCGCGCCCCCUAUCUUGUGGGCCCCUCGGGCAUCCACCGACCUACUUCUUCCUCCUAUAUAUACCCACGUACCCUGAGAACAUCAGGGGCGACCAUGAAAAACUAUUUCCACCACCGUAACCUUCUGUAUCCGCGAGAUCCAUAGAAGUUUAUGGAUCUUUUUCUUCGCCCACUAUUUCCAUCCUUUUCUUCGCCCUCCUUCCGUUCGAUCUUGUGUUACCAUGUACCUUCUUUUUGCUUGCAUCUUCGCUUGCUAAAAGUUUAUGGAUCCUCAUCCACUUGCUAAUCUCUUUAAGAGAUCCAAUUAUGAUGAACCUAUUGCUAGUGAGUUGAGUGCACUAGAUUAUCUUUAUGAGGUUUUGCUUGAAAUAUGUGAAUCUGAAAAUUGUGAUGAAGUACUUUAUGAAGCAAUUCACGAUAGAUCUUUGAAUAAUAAGCAUGAUUGCAAUGAUUUUAUUAUAAAUUCUAUUGAUGGCAACUGUGCUAAUAAUAUGUAAAACCCUAAGCUUGGGGAUACUAGUUUUGCUAUGUCUACUACUUGUUGCAAUGAUCAUGAUUGGGGUGAUUCUUCUUAUGAUCUUGAAAAUUUAUUUAAGCCCCAUGAUGAAUAUGAGAUUGAUAAUAGUGUUUGAAAUAAUAUUGAAAGUGGGUUUGGAAGAGUGUCAACUUUAGAUCCCACAUAUUUGGAUAAUGUUCAAUCUUAUGGUAUUUUUGAUAAAACUGGGUUUGGAGAGGUCAUGACUUUAGUUAAUGAUAAUCCCACUAUUUUGGAAGAGUGUCAACUUUGCAUGCAUGUGGAUCAUGUGGAAAAUAUUUUAUGUGAUAGCUAUUUUGUUGAAUUUUCUUAUGAUCCCACAUGUAAUUCUUAUGAGAGAGGAAAAUAUGAUUGUAGAAAUUUUCAUGUUACAAAAUUUCCUCUCGUUAUGUUGAGAUUGCUAUCGUCUCUUUCUUCUUCCUUGCAUAUGCUAGUUUUUGCUUGCUUUGCAAAUUUGUUUGCUUAUAAUAUGACUAUGCAUAGGAAGUAUGUUAGACUUAAACAUGUUUGUCACGUGUUUCAUGAUGCUCUCUUUGCGCUUCAAUUCUUGUGUUUCAUGUGAGCAUCAUUAAAAUUAUCAAUGCCUAGCUAGGGGCUUUAAACGAUACGCUAGUUGGGAGGCAACCUAAUUUUAUUUUAAUUUUUUGUUUUUUGCUUCUGUUUAGUAAUAUGUUUUUCAUCUACCUUCUGUUUAGAUGUGUUUUAAUGUUUUAAUUAGUGUUUGUGCCAAGUAGAACCUAUAGGAUAACCUAUGGUGAUAGUUAAUUUGAUUCUGCUGAAAAAUAGAAACUUUGCGCGCACGAAAAUAAUUUUAGUAAUUCACAUAAAUGUGGUUUUGCGUUGAUUCUUUUUUCUGUAGAUCAAUAGACAAAUUUCCCAGGACUUCAUAUUUUGGUAGGAUUUUUAGAGUUCCAGAAGUAUUCGAGGGUUACAGAUUGCUACAGACUGUUCUGUUUUUGACAGAUUCUGUUUUUUCGCUUGUUGUUUGCUUAUUUUGAUGCAUCUAUGGCUAGUAUUAAGUGGUAUGAACCAUAGAGAACUUGAAAUACAAUAGGUUUAACACAAAUAUAAAUGAAGAAUAAGUUCAUUACAGUACCUUAUGUGAUGGUUUUUCUUUCUUUCACUAAUGAAGCUUAUGAGAUUUCCUGUUGAGUUUUGUGUUGUGAAGUUUUCAAGUUUUGGGUAAAGAUUUGAUGGACUAUGGAAUAAGGAGUGGCAAGAGCCUAAGCUUGGGGAUGCCCAUGGCACCCCAAGAUAUUCAAGAAUAGCCAAAAGCCUAAGCUUGGGAUGCCCUGGAAGGCAUCCCCUCUUUCGUCUUCGUUUAUCGGUAACUUGACUUGGAGCUAUAUUUUUAUUCGCCACAUGAUAUGUGUUUUGCUUGGAGCGUCUUGUAUGAUAUUAGUCUUUUCUUUUUAGUUUUCGACAAUCAUCCUUGCUGUACACACCUUUUUGUAGAAACCUACUUUAGUGGAAUUUAUUAUAAUACUCUAUGUGCUUCACUUAUAUCUUUUGAGCUAGGUAGUUUUUGCUCUAGUACUUCACUUAUAUCUUUUAGAGCAUGGCGGUGGCUUAAUUUUUAAGAAAUUGUUGAUCUCUCAUGCUUCACUUAUAUUAUUUUGAGAGUAUUUUAGAACAGCAUGGUAUUUUCUAUGGUUAUAAAGUUGGUCCAAGUUGGGUAUAAUAAAAACUAUCAUAGAAAGUGCAUUAAACACUAGGAUCAAAUUGAUGCUUGAUCAUUGUUUUGAGAUAUAAAGGUGGUAAUGUUAGAGUCAUGCUACCGGGUAAUUAUGAAAUUGAGAAAUACUUGUGUUGAAGUUGGAAUGUCUCGUAGCAUGCACGUAUGGUAAAAGUUGUGUGACAAAUUUGUUGCAUGAGGUGCUUUUUUGAUUGUCUUCCUUAUGAGUGGAAGUCGGGGACGAGCGAUGGUCUUUUCCUACCAAUCUAUCCCUCUAGGGGCAUGCAUAGUAGUACUUUCCUUCGAAGGCAAGUAGACUUUUGCAAUAAGUAUAUGAGUUCUCUAUGACUAAUGUGAGUCCAUGGAUAUACGCACACUCACCUUCCACUUUGCUAGCCUCUAUUGUGCCGCGCAACUUUCGCCGGUAUCAUGCACCCAUUAUUUACCUUCCUAAAAACAGCCACCAUACCUACCUAUUAUGGCAUUUCCAUAGACAUUCCGAGAUAUAUUGCCAUGCAACUUUCCACCGUUCCGUUAUUAUGGCACGCUCCAUCAUUGUCAUAUUGCUCCAUGCAUGAUCAUGUAGUUGACAUUGUAUUUGUGGCAAGGCCACCCACAUAAUUUUCAUACAUGUCACUCUUGAUUCAUUGCAUAUUCCAGUAUACCACCGGAGGCAUUCAUAUAGAAUCAUAUUUUGUUCUAAGUGUUGAGUUGUAAUUCUCGAGUUGUAAAUUAAUAAAAGUGCGACGAUCUUCAUUAUUAGAGCACUGUCCCAAGUGAGAAAAGGAUGAUGAAGACUAUGAUUCCCCCACAAGUCGGGAUGAGACUUCGGACUUUAAAAAAAAGGAGGCCAAAGAGCCCACCAAAUAUUAAAAAAAGAAAUGCCAAAUAAGAAAAGAGAAAGGCCAAAUAAAAAAUGAGAGAAAAAGAGAGAAGGGACAAUGCUACUAUCUCUUUUCCACACUUGUGCUUCAAAAUAGCACCAUGAUCUUCAUGAUAGAGAGUCUCUUGUGUUGUCACUUUCAUAUACUAGUGGGAAUUUUUCAUUAUAGAACUUGGCUUGUAUAUUCCAAUGAUGGGCUUCCUCAAAAUGCCCUAGGUCUUCGUGAGCAAGCAAGUUGGAUGCACACCCACUUGGUUUCUUUUGUUGAGCUUUCAUACAUUUAUAGCUCUAGUGCAUCCGUUGCAUGGCAAUCCCUACUCACUCACAUUGAUAUCUAUUGAUGGGCAUCUCCAUAGCUCGUUGAUAUGCCUAGUUGAUGCGAGACUAUCUUCUCCCUUUUUGUCCUCACAACCACCACCUUAUACCACCAUAGUGCUAUGUCCAUGGCUUGCGCUCAUGUAUUGCGUAAGAGUUGAAAAAGCUGAAGCGCGUUAAAAAGUAUGAACCAAUUGCUCGACUCGUCAUCGGGGUUGUGCAUGAUGAGAGUAUUUUGUGUAAUGAAAAUGAAGCAUGGCCUAACUAUAUGAUUUUGUAGGGAUAAGCUUUCUUUGGCCAUGCUAUUUUGAUAGGACAUGAUUAUUUGUUAGUAUGCUUCGAGUAUUACUAUUUUUUAUGUUUUAUAAGCUUUUAUCUUGAAUCAUUUGGAUCUGAACAAUCAUGCCACAAUAAAGAAAAUUACAUUGAGAAUUAUGCUAGGUAGCAUUCCACAUCAAAAAUUAUAUUUUUAUCAUCUACCUACUCGAGGACGAGCAGGAAUUAAGCUUGGGGAUGCUUGAUAUGUCUCCAACGUAUCUAUAAUUUUUGAUUGUUCCAUGCUAUUAUAUUACCCGUUUUGGAUGUUUAUGGGCUUUACUUUACACUUUUAUAUCAUUUUUGGGACUAACCUACUAACCGGAGGCCCAGCUCGUAUUGCUAUUUUUUGCCUAUUUCAGUGUUUCGAAGAAAAGGAAUAUCAAACGAAGUCCAAACGGAAUGAAACCUUCGGGAGCAAUCUUUUUGGAACAAACGUGAUCCAGAGGACUUGGAGUGCAAGUCAAUAAGCAAUCGAGGAGGCCACGAGGGUGGAGGGCGCGCCCCCUAUCUUGUGGGCCCCUCGGGCAUCCACCGACCUACUUCUUCCUCCUAUAUAUACCCACGUACCCCGAGAACAUCAGGGGCGACCACGAAAAACUAUUUCCACUACCGUAACCUUCUGUAUCCACGAGAUCCAUCUUGGAGCCUUUGUCGGCGCUCUGCCGGAGGGGGAAUCAACCAUGGAGGGCUUCUACAUCAACACCAUAGCCUCUCCGAUGAGUUGUGAGUAGUUUACCACAGACCUUCGGGUCCAUAGUUAUUAGCUAGAUGGCUUCUUCUCUCUCUUUGGAUCUCAAUACCAUGUUCUCCUUGAUCUUCUUGGAGAUCUAUUCGAUGUAACUCUUUGUGCGGUGUGUUUGUCGAGAUCCGAUGAAUUGUGGGUUUAUGAUCAAGUUUAUCUAUGAGAAAUAUUUGAAUCUCCUCUGAAUUCUUUUAUGUGUGAUUAAGUUAUCUUUGCAAGUCUCUUCAAAUUAUCAGUUUGGUUUGGCCUACUAGAUUGAUCUUUCUUGCAAUGGGAGAAGUUCUUAGCUUUGGGUUCAAUCUUGCGGUGUCCUUUCCUAGUGACAGCAAGGGCAUCAAGGCACGUAUUGCAUUGUUGCCAUCGAGGAUAAAAAGAUGGGGUUUAUAUCAUAUUGCAUGAGUUUAUCCCUCUACAUCAUGUCAUCUUUCUUAACGCGUUACUCUGUUCUUUAUGAACUUAAUACUCUAGAUGCAUGCAGGAUAGCGGUCGAUGUGUGGAGUAAUAGUACUAGAUGCAAGCAGGAGUCGGUCUACUUGUCACAGACGUGAUGCCUAUAUACAUGAUCAUGCCUAGAUAAUCUCAUAAUUAUUCGCUUUUCUAUCAAUUGCUCGACAGUAAUUUGUUCACCCACCGUAAUACUUAUGCUAUCUUGAGAGAAGCCACUAGUGAAACCUAUGGCCCCCGGGUCUAUCUUUUAUCAUAUAAGCUUUCAAUCUACUUUUAUUUGCAUCUUUACUUUUCCAAUCUAUAUUAUAAAAUACCAAAAAUAUAUUUAUCUUAUCAUAUUAUCCCUAUCAGAUCUCACUUUCGCAAGUGGUCGUGAAGGGAUUGACAACCCCUUUAUUGUGUUGGUUGUGAGUUCUUGUUUGUUUGUGUAGGUGCGUGGGACUUUUGAGGAGCCUCCUACUGGAUUGAUACCUUGGUUCUCAAAAACUGAGGGAAAUACUUACGCUACUAUUGCUGCAUCACCCUUUCCUCUUCAAGGAAAACCAAUGCAAGCUCAAGACGUAGCAAGAAGGAUUUCUGGCGCCGUUGUCGGGGAGGUCUUCGCUCAAGUCAAGACAUACCAAGUACCCAUCAUAAACUCAUAUCCCUCGCAUUUACAUUAUUUGCCAUUUGCCUCUCGUUUUCCUCUCCCCCACUUCACCCUUGCCGUUUUAUUCGCCCUUUCUUUCCCAAUCUCCUCUCUCUUUCGUUUGCCUCUUUUUGUUUGCUCGUGUGUUAGAUCGUUUACCUUGUUGUAAUGGCUAGUCCUCCUAUCCUUGUUAUUACUCCCGAACAUGAAAUUCUUAAUUUUAAGCAAAGGGAGGGAGGAAAUUUAAAAGAUGCUUGGCAUAAAAUUUUCAAUGCUCAAAAUAAAUCUACUAGGAAGCUUUCUACUUCCGUUUACCACACUUGUGCUACUAUCCUCUUUACCACACUUGUGCUUCAAAGUAGCACCAUGAUCUUCAUGAUAGAGAGUCUCCUAUGUUGUCACUUUCAUAUACUAGUGGGAAUUUUCAUUAUAGAACUUGGCUUGUAUAUUCCAAUGAUGGGCUUCCUCAAAGUGCCCUAGGUCUUCGUGAGCAAGCGAGGAUGCACACCCACUUAGUUUCUUUUAUUGAGCUUUCAUACAUUUAUAGUUCUAGUGCAUCCGUUGCAUGGCAAUCCCUACUCGCUCACACUGAUAUCUAUUAAUGGGCAUCUCCAUAGCCCGUUGAUAUGCCUAGUUGAUGUGAGACUAUCUUCUCCUUUUUGUCUUCUCCACAACCACCAUUCUAUUCCACAUAUAGUGCUAUGUCCAUGGCUCACGCUCAUGUAUUGCGUGCAAGUUGAAAAAGUUUAAGAUUACUAAAGUAUGAAACAAUUGCUUGGCUUGUCAUCGGGGUUGUGCAUGAUUAAAUACUUUGUGUGAUGAAGCUAGAGCAACAGCCAGACCAUAUGAUUUUGUAGGGAUAACUUUCAUUGGCCAUGUUAUUUUGAGAAGACAUGAUUGCUUGAUUUAGUAUGCUUGAAGUAUUACUAUUUCUUAUGUCAAUAUGAACUUUUCUUUUGAAUCAUUUGGAUCUGAAAAUUCAUGCCACAAUAAAGAAAAUUACAUUGAGAAUUAUGCUAGGUAGCAUUCCACAUCAAAAAUUCUAUUUUUAUCAUUUACCUACUUGAGGACGAGCAGGAAUUAAGCUUGGGGAUGCUUGAUACGUCUCCAACGUAUCUAUAAUUUUUUAUGGUUCCAUGCUAUUAUAUUACCCGUUUUGGAUGUUUAUGGGCUUUACUUUACACAUUUAUAUUAUUUUUGGGACUAACCUACUAACCGGAGGCCCAGCCCGUAUUGCUGUUUUUUUUGCCUAUUUCAGUGUUUCGAAGAAAAGGAAUAUCAAACGGAGUCCAAACGGAAUGAAACCUUCGGGAGCGUGAUUUUUGGAACAAACGUGAUCCAGAGGACUUGGAGUGCAAGUCAAGAAGCAAUCGAGGCGGCCAUGAGGGUGGAUGGCGCGCCCACCCCUACAGGGGGCGCCCCCUAUCUCGUGGGCCCCUCGGGCGGCCACCGACCUACUUCUUCCUCCUAUAUAUAUACCCACAUACCCCGAGAACAUCAAAGGCGACCACGAAAAACUAUUUCUACCACCGUAACCUUCUGUAUCCACGAGAUCCCAUGUUGGAGCCUUCGCCAACGCUCCAUCAGAGGGGGAAUCGACCAUGGAGGGCUUCGACAUCAACACCAUAACCCCUCCGAUGAGUUGUGAGUAGUUUACCAUAGACCUUCGGGUCCAUAGUUAUUAGCUAGAUGGCUUCUUCUCUCUUUUUGGAUCUCAAUACCAUGUUCUCCUUGAUCUUCUUGGAGAUCUAUUCGAUGUAACUCUUUUUGCGGUGUGUUUGUCGAGAUCCGAUGAAUUGUGGGUUUAUGAUCAAGUUUAUCUAUGAGAAAUAUUUGAAUCUCCUCUGAAUUCUUUUAUGUGUGAUUAAGUUAUCUUUGCAAGUCUGUCCAAAUUAUCAGUUUGGUUUGGCCUACAAGAUUGAUCUUUCUUGCAAUGGGAGAAGUGCUUAGCUUUGGGUUCAAUCUUGCGGUGUCCUUUCCCAGUGACAGCAGGGGCAGCAAGGCACAUAUUGUAUUGUUGCCAUCGAGGAUAAAAAGAUGGGGUUUAUAUCAUAUUGCAUGAGUUUAUCCCUCUACAUCAUGUCAUCUUUCUUAAUGCAUUACUCUGUUCUUUAUGAACUUAAUACUCUAGAUGCAUGCUGGAUAGCGGUCGAUGUGUCGAGUAAUAGUAGUAAAUGCAGGCAGGAGUCGGUCUACUUGUCACGGACAUGAUGCCUAUAUACAUGAUCAUGCCUAGAUAAUCUCAUAAUUAUUCGCUUUUCUAUCAAUUGCUCGACAGUAAUUUGUUCACCCACCGUAAUACUUAUGCUAUCUUGAGAGAAGCCACUAGUGAAGCCUAUGGCCCCCGGGUCUAUCUCUUAUCAUAUAAGCUUUCAAUCUACUUUUAUUUGCAUUUUUACUUUUCCAAUCUAUAUCAUAAAAUACCAAAAAUAUAUUUAUCUUAUCGUAUUAUAUCUAUCAGAUCUCACUUUCGCAAGUGGCCGUGAAGGGAUUGACAACCCCUUUAUUGCGUUGGUUGCGAGUUCUUUGUUUGUUUGUGUAGGUGCGUGGGACUUUUGAGGAGCCUCCUACUAGAUUGAUACCUUGGUUCUCAAAAAAUGAGGGAAAUACUUACGCUACUAUUGCUGCAUCACCCUUUCCUCUUCAAGGAAAACCAAUGCAAGCUCAAGACUAGCAACCGACAAGGAAAAUUGGAAUGAAGAGCUUCUGUUACAAUUCUAUGCUACACUUCACAUCCGCGGCUACAACAAGGACAUCAAAACUUGGGUCCUUGAGUGGAUGACAGGCAAUGUGCACCAUGAAGCCAAAGCUCUUGAUCUCAUUGAGCUUACUGGCCUGCCCACUCUAGGUGAACUAUAUGAACCUGGUUGUCAGCUUCACCGCAAUGCCUUGGAAAGCAUAUUCCAGAAGCCUGAGCCCAACAUGAGCCAAAUGCUGAGUAUGAUGAAGCCUCUGCCACAAGAUGCUGAAUAUCCUAAGGAAUUCUUUGUUGAAGACCUAGAGUAUCUGCCCCGCACCAUCUAUCACAUUAUCAGGCGAACUCUAUGGCCCAUCAAAGGACAUUCUUCUUCAGCAAAGCUUGAAGGCUCAAUGAAGACAUUGGUCAUCUAUAUUCUCAAUGGCAUCAGCUUCAAUGCUCAGGAUUUCUUCAUUCGCCAACUUGCUGCAUCUGGCUCACAUAUAUUUGGUCUGAAGUUCUAUACUCCAUGGGUAAUGCGUCUGAUCAAGCUUCACUUUGUUGUUAACUAUCAGCCCUCUGCGCGCAACCAUCUCAUAUUCUUGCCAGAGGUUGAUAAUGUCUAUUGAAGCCAUAUACCCAAAACCUGCCAAGGAGGCAAUUUAUUUUCACAAUGUCGAUCGUCAAAGUUUCUCUCAACAUGUUGAAGGAGUUCAUGCUACCACUCGUGUUUAUCCUUUGGCUGGAAAUACUCGUGCACCUCGUCGUGCCCAUACUGAAGCCACUGAAAGCACUAUUGCUCCAAGGCCUCGGAAGAGAUCUCGUGUGCUCAAUGACUGAGAGCUUCUUGUGGCCUUGCAUUAGAAACAUGAUAAGCAUCAUUACUGGCUGAAGCGUCAGAUGCAGAGUCUCUUGAUGGAUGUUAAUCGCAUUCGCAAUCUCCCACCAAGAAUGCAUUUGUCACUCAUGAAACCUGUCGGCAUUCGUGGAAGAGUCUGACACUCCUCAGUUCUGAAGAUGAUCUUCAGCAAGAUGGCUUCACAGAGAGAUUCAAGUUUGAUUCCACUCCUCCCAGGAAUGUUGUCUUACGUCGGACUCCUUCACUCGAAGACUCUGAGUACUCCUCUUCGGCAGCAACUGUCAAUGCCAGAGUCAUCGAUGAUGAAGAUGAUGCUACAUCACCAACAACCACUUCAGCGCGUAUCAACACUGCACCAGGCCCGUCUGCACCACCAAACUCCAACAUCGACCCUGCUCCUUCUGGGAAUGAGUAGACACUCUAUGUCUUCAAACCUUUUUGGUAAUUACUGACAAAAGGGGGAGAAGCAUAUGAGUUGAUAGUCUUCAAGCGGGUCCUUAUGAGUGGUUGCAUUAUUUUGCCAAGUCUUACAACUCUCGUUUUUUUGAUACAUUUUGUUCUUUGAGUUGUAAAUUUGAUGGUCAACUACUACUUUAUUUGUUAUUCUGUGAUGCGAUGAUAAAUCCCGCAUGAAGUCAUUCUGCAGACGUCCAUUUGUCAUUAUGCAUAUCAUUAUCUUUGUUACUUCUUAUAUUCAUAAUGCAUUGUCUUCACACUUUGAUGAUGGCCUCCACAAAGCAAAACCUGCUAUGUGCAUUUGCAUUCAAACACAAAUCAUUUAUAUGCACAUCUUUAGGGGGGAGCCUCGCCUUAUGUAUGAAGACAAUACUCACAACAUUAAACUUUCACAUACUUUUAUCCCUGUUGAAAACUUCAACCAGUUUGUCAUCAAUCACCAAAAAGGGGGAGAUUGUAAGUGCAUCUAGUGCCACCCCUAGUUGGUUUUGGAGUAUUGACGACAAACUUGGUUGAGGGACUAAUGUGUUUGUGAGAAUUGCAGGAUAACACAGGUAGUAGUCCCAUAUUGAUUCGGUUUACCUACCAGAGAUGACCCCUAAAAAUGUGUGAAGACAUUGAAGACAAUGGUGGUCUGUGAAGACAUUCACAUUGAAGGCUAUGACAUGAGAAGACAUCGAGUGAAGAUUAUGGAGUACGAAGACAUAGUUGUUCCGUAGUUUCCUUUUCUUCUUUGUUGAGUCAUAGGAACCACCGUACUAUUAAGUGGGGUCCAAGUGAACAAAGUCAGAGUGACUGAUGUGAUGCUCAACCAAAUCCUAUGUCUUCGAGUGAAGACAAUGAGAGCAAAUCUUAUCCAGAGCUGGAUGAGUCAGCUUUACUUGUGGAGGAGCUGACCAUGGAUUUUGUGGAGGGGCUGCCGAAGUCUGAAGGCGCCAACGCAAUCAUGGCCGUAGUCGAUCGGCUGACCAAGUACGCGCACUUCAUGUCGCUUCGUCAUCCCUUCACCGCCGUUCAGGUCGCGCGCGCCUUCUGGGAGCACAUCAUCAAGCUCCAUGGCGUUCCCCAUUCGAUCGUCUCCGACCGCGACAAGAUCUUCACGAGCGCGAUGUGGCGCGAAUUGCUCGUCGCCGCGGGAACCAAGCUACUCUACUCCACCGCGUACCACCCCCAGACGGAUGGCCAAACCGAGUGCGGCAAUCAGUGCUUGGAGAUGUACCUGCGGUGUGCAGUCCACGACACGCCACGGCAAUGGCGCAAGUGGCUACCGGCGGCGGAGUUCUGGUACAAUUCAGCGCAUCAUGCCUCCCUGAAUUGCUCUCCCUUCAAGGCGUUGUAGGGCAGAGAGCCCAAUCUGGGGGGAUUACCUCACCUGAGCACCGCGCUCCCUGGCGACGCGACGUCCGGCGAUCCGGACUAGGCUGCCCACACUAACCUGCUGCGUGCAUAGCUGGCCCGCGCCCAAGCUCGCUUCAAGAAACAAGCAGAUCGACACCGAGCGGAACGAGCUUUCGACGUUGGCGAACAGGUCCUUCUCAAGCUGCAGCCGUAUGCACAAUCCUCUAUCGCCAAUCGCCCAUGCAAGAAACUCGCCUACAAGUUCUUCGGUCCAUUCUUGGUGACAGAACGCAUCGGCACGCUGGCAUAUCGACUGCAACUUCCCCCAAACAGCAGCAUCCACCUGGUAUUCCAUGUCUCUCAAUUGAAGCCGUUUACUCCUGACUAUACUCCGGUGUUCUCUGAACUGCCACGAGUACCGGACCUCGCCGGAGAGCAAACCGAACCAGUGGCAAUCCUACAGCGGCGUAUGAUGAAGAAAGGAGAUGCUCCAGUGGUGCAGCUGCAAGUUCAGUGGGCAAACAUGCCAUCAUCGGCUACAAACUGGGAAGACUACGACGUCCUUCGUCAUCGGUACCCAUCAGGAAGCAUCUGGGAAGAGUCUGCAUCGCAAGAGGGAGGCAAUGUCACGCCUGCAGAUGCUGCUACUGCACCUGCAGCGGACUAACAAGUGCAGUUAAGUUAUCUGAACCUGCAACCCACGGUUGGGCUGGUUCGAGUGCGUGUGUGGGUUGUGAUUGGGCUGUGACCUUGUAAGGGUGGCCCAGUGGGGCAGCUACAUAUAUACGACUCUCAGGACGAAAGAAGCAGCGAGUGAUUGAUCGAGUCUUUCUUUCCCCUUCUCCACGCCUCUCACCUACUCUGCUUUCUCCUUCCUCACCCCAAUUCUAGAUCGAGAUCCGCCUGGGCAUUACACUUUAGUGUGCUUAUAAAAUCUAGUAUCGCAGAGAAAUAGUGUUGUUAGACAAGUAGAGAAGUAGCAUUAAGAAACAAGCUACCCUUCUCAAGCCUUUACAUCUUAAAAUUCGACCAAGUCGAGCCUACAUCGAACUGCUUUCUCCAGGCUGUAAAAAUAGAAAGUCCAUGGUUAAUUGUAUCAUUCAUUGGGCAUAAUAGUUGUAUCUGUAACUAGAUUUACGAUGAAGAUGUUCUUUCUACAAAAGAAACUAUAGUCUUCCUGGUGUAUAUUCAUUAGCAAGUCCAUUAUCAACAAACAUAGUUGUUACAGACUGGAUAAAUUGCUGAGGAAGGGAAAAACAAGGGUAAAUGGAAAUUUAUAACUUACUCCCUCUAUUCCUAAAUAUAGUCUUUGUAGAGAUUCCACUAGGUGGACUACAUACGGAGCAAAAUGAAUGAAUCUAAACUUAGAAUGCAUCUAUAUACAUCCGUAUGCGGUUUAUAGUGGAAUCUCUACAAAGACUUACAUUUAGGAACGGAGGGAGUAUUUAUUAUGUAAUUAGUGCACUCACCUUUGUAAAAACAAUGGGCAACUCCUUGCUCUCUGCAAGAUCGUUGAAAUGAUUGAUGUCGCUAACUUUGAUACUUUCAGUCACAAUUCCAUUCCACGCACUAACCAUGUCUUUGCACAGCAUGUCUCCCGACUCUCUUUCCUUUGAUAUCCUUUUUACUCUUAUUUCCUGUGUGGACCGUGGUGGUAGGAUUCCUACCGGUGUAUUUGCAGUGUAGCUCGCCGAAUUGCCAUGGUGGGCCAAUAUAUGGAAACCCACACAAUAAUCUGUAACAUUGACUAUUUUAAGUAAGCACACCAUGGGUGCCUUCUUGUUUGGAAAGAAGGGGUAGCGUAGUUGGGGAGGAUCAAACUGGAUUAACUCGUCUGAGGUGCAUAAGUUUGUCUGCGAGAAAAAGGGAAAAUAAUGCUGCUGUGGAUUAAUUGGUACCAGAGAAACACCAGUGUCGAUGAAGUAAACUGACCACCACUGAUCAACUUUCUACCAUGUAAUGUCUCUACAAAUACACUUCGAAACUUUGCAACGUGUUAUGGUACGAUUGGCCCGUUAGCCAGCCAUACGGUUGGCACCACAUCAGUGAAAUGAGAUUGCCAUGCCAUUUCAGACUAGCUGACUGAUGGGCUCAGAGCUAGCUGAUGAUGCUCAAUUUAAAAAACAAAAAAUAUGUUAAUUUGAACUAUUGCAAUAAGUCUUAUUCUUUAGGAUUGGGAAGAAACAACAAGUUGAAAUGAGAGUGAGUAGCAGGACAAGGUAGCAACGCUAAGAAUAUGAUCCAAAAAAAGAUGUUCGGCCACGAGUUCUCAGUAAGUUUUAAAGGUAUGGACUAUGGAGUUCCAAAGGAUCAUCAUCACAUGAUAAUUCCAUUGUCAAGGAGACGUGGUGAUUCAAGAGCUGAGAAUAAUUAUUGGAAUGUAAUGUCUUAAAUCUUCUUUUAGGCGGUUCAGUGUGGAACAAUUGUAAAUAAAACUUUAAACUUAUAUAUGCAUCACAUAAUAAGGGAACUUACCAUGUGAAGAACAAUGCGCAAUUCCUUACUAAAAGUGGUCAAAUCCCCAUCCAUGUCACCAAUGAUGUCACUUGGUUCAGCAUCUUCGCUCACAAUCCUGUUACACAAAAACAACUUGUCUUGGCACUGCAUGUCUCCUAGUUCCUUUUCCUUUGCUGUCCUUUUUAGAACAAGUCUUUGAGUGGUCUUUGGUGGCAUAAUCCUUUCAGACGGUUUUACAUACCAGGCCACUUUGCUGUUUGGCAAACCUGUACUAAAAGCCACGUAGUAAUCUGUACUGUUGACUACAUUAACUGAGAACACGCACACCUUGUUUGGCAGGACGUGGAAGUUGAGCUCAGGCGGGUCAAAUUGGAUCAGCUCAUUUGAGGCACAUGGACUACUUUCCUGCCAAAAUGAAAACAUCGGCUCAUUAAUUUGGUCCGUGAAAAUCAUCAUCAGUUCAUGUUUACUGAUUUUUAUCACAGAUCAAAGCGGGGUGCUCACAGUUAGCAAAGAUGUACUGUUACAUGACCCGACCACAAUUAUCACACAAACAUGGAGUACUCUGAUUAUUUGAGUAAAUGAUGGUUCGGCCAUCCUGUGGUAAGUCACUAGUAAUAAGGGAAUAUUUUUGCUCUUGCACUAACCGAGGAUGUAAAAACUGUAAAAUGCCACUUUGGGGGUUGGUUAGGGGCGUUACUCUUCCACUUAAGUAGGAUAUGUUAGAGUACUAUAUAUAGCCAUGCAGCCUUUUGUAUUUACCUCAUUGUAUAAGGGUUUUUCUGCAUAUUUCAUGCACCUGUACUUGUAUAUAUACUGGCCUAUGGCCUAAUGGAAAUACAAGUUGCAUAUUUCCUAACAUGGUAUUAGAGCUCAGGUCUUUUAAGCAUGCGCAACUCGUGCUUGAUCCUCUAUUCACGUCGUCGGCGUCUCGUUACCAGCCAUCGCUGCUCUCUCUACCCCGCCCCGUCUCAUCACUGCUUCGACUGCUAUUGUCCAUGCCCUCUUCGCUACUUUCUUGGGAUCGAGGUCCCUUCUACCUUUGAGGGCUUUUUUAUUUCCCGGGAAAAGUAUAUCCAGAAUUUUCUUGCUCGUCAGCACUUACUGAUGACCGCACCAUUGAGACUCCCAUGGAGCUCAAUGUUCACCUCUGUGAUACUGAUGGUGACCCUUGUCUGAUCUGAGCGUAAUCGUCAUCUUGUUGGGAGUCUUGUCUAUCUGGCUAUCACUCGUCCGGAUAUCUCUUAUCCAAUCCAUAUUCUGAGUCAAUUUGUCUCUGCUCCCACUUUGGUUCACUACAGUCACCUCCUUGGUGUUCUCUGAUAUCUUCGUGACACGAUCUCUCACCGUGUGUUCUUUCCUCACUCUAGUUCAUUAUAGCUUCAGGCCUAUUCAGAUGCUAUAUGGCCUAACAAUCCCUCGGAUGGUCGUUCACUUUCUGCUUACUUGUGUUUUUCUUGGUGGUUCUCUCAUUGCUUGGAAGACAAAGAAACAGACUGCAGUUUCCCGUUUGUUGUUACGGUGGUUGCUCCAGGACAUUGGUGUUGCUGUCACUAAACCUACUGUUCUACUGUUUGACAAUACAUGUGCUAUUAGAAUUGCGCGGGACCACGUGAAGCAUGAACUCACCAAGCAUAUUGGUGUUGAUGCUUUUUAUGUGCACGCUGAUGUGCAUGACCAGGUUAUUGCUCUUCAGUAUGUGCCUUUCGAGUUAUAAUUGACGGAUUUCUUUACCAAGGCCCAGAAUAGAGCACAACAUGGCUUCUAGCUCUCCAAACUCAGUGUUGUUUAUCCACCAUGAGUUUGAGAGGGGGGGUGUUAGAGUACUAUAUAUAUAGCCAUGUAGCAUUUUGUAUUUACCCCAUUGUAUAAGGGGUUUUCUGCAUAUUUCCUACACAUGUACUCGUAUAUAUACUGCCCUAUGGCCUCAUGGGAAUACAAGUUGCAUAUUUUCUAACAGGAUAUAUGUAUAGUGCCACUUUUCCUUGCUGCUAGUACUCACGUCAACCAAUUACUUGUUAAUUUCACAAAAUACCUUUUGUUUGAAAAUUAUCACAAAUCUAUACUUUUAAGAAACUAAUUCAUAUAACCAUAUUUUGUAGCAUGAUCUGAACAGAGACAUCCAUUUCGUUGAUGGAUAGUCUAUUCUGCACUAAAAGUGGUAUAUAUACCAAAGAACUAUUGGGUAGAAGUCUAGUAGAGAAGUAUAGUCUCGUGAUGUUUUUUUAUAAUUCAGCAAGAAACACGAAUACCUUCUAAGCUAAGCAGCCGUCACAUGUAUAUGUAUUAUUUCAUUCAUAUAUAUUUGCAAAUAUACAAUGAUUUUCUAUAAGUAUAAUGUUUUCUGUCAGAUAAAAGAGAUGAUCAUAUUUCAUGAGAAGUGUUCUUUCAUAGUAUAGCAAUUUUAUAUGUUUAAUGUGAAAUAAUCAUGAAAUCUGCAGACAAAUUGGAGACGUGUUAUAAUAGAGUAGUGAGAUAGUAGUGUUGUUGUGUUAGAAACAACUGUAACGGGCACGUGCUUGACCAGGGUACGUAAAUGCAAUGUCUGCGUGUGUACAGCAGCCCUACCGGUUGGGCCCGUCAUACUAAAAGGUGAUUGUAUACAAGGAUUUUAAAUAGGUUCGACCAUCCACACCUGAUCAGUUUAGUCCUAUCAAGGGUGACAUUAGUAGGUAAUGAUCUUACUAGGCUUCCUUUUGGAACCCCUAAUCACUAGGUCAAGUUGGGUCCAACUUUGGGAAUUGGGACCCCUUAACUCUAGGUCAAGGAAGGCUACCAUUUAGGUUGCCCUAGAGCACCCUUGCAAGUUUGCUCUAAACCUCACCUCUUGGAAAAUCUUAUUCCAAAUGAGAGAUGUAUGUAUAGGUGGAAGGAGGUAUCCAAUUAAAUCGCACCUACCCUGAGUGAAUAACCUUCUGGGUUUGGCUUGCCACUCGUGAUCGUUGCUGGAUGGCGGAUCGCCUCGAACGCCUUGGCGUCGAGCACAAACCCACCUGGGUGUUCUGUGAUCAGACGUUGGAGAUGAUGCAGUACCUGCUUGUGGACUGCCUCUUUGCCCAUGAGCUUUGGUUGUGGGUGCUUUCCUGGUUCACGCCACCUACUGUCGCUGGCAAUGGGAUCCCUGCUGCACAACUGGUGGCUGAUCGUUGUGCUUCUGACUUCCUGGCAACUUUGGAAGCACCGCAAUGUGCACCUUUAACAACGUGAUGCCGAAUCUCCCUUUGCUGCGGAUUGCAUCAAGGACGCAGCACAGAAUUGGGAUGAUGCCGGCUUAAGGGGCUUAAGAAUUAUUCUCCCACCCCUGUGGAUGUUGUUUAAUUAGCACAUUCUUUUUUCCUACUACUUUGUACUCUACCCUUUUGUGCAUGAACCUAUUCUCCUACCCUUUCAAUGCAAUGACGCCCAAGAUUUUUGCGCUUUCUCAAAAAAAAAUGAGUUAUGAGUAGUCCAUAAUCCAUAUAGAGGCAACGGGGUUUCUGCAAGUGGCUAUGUAGCAUUAACCUCUUUCUUUGUGGAUUGCAUGAGCUCUAAAUAUGAUUACAAUCACUUGUAUGCAAUGGAUCAUGAGCUUUAGGUAUCCUUUGUAGACGUAGUAAUAGAAAGGGUAAUACAAAUAAAAAACAAUGCAUUGCAUAAUUUAGAAUCUCACCUUGUGAAAAAAAAUGGGCAAUUCUUUACUCUCUUCCUCACUCAUAUAACCAAUGAUGUCUCUAGCUUCGACACCUUCAGUCACAAGACGGCUCCAAAAAAAUAUCUUGUCUUCUAACUCGUACUCCUUGCCUCCUGGUCCCAUUUCCUUCAAUUGCCAUACCAUCGUGCUUUCUCUAGUGGAUCUUGGUGGCAGAAUUCCUUCCAUAAAUGAUUCUUUACGUCUUGCUGCAUUCUUUACCACGCUAUAUACAGUGAAAGCAACAUUGAAAUCUGUAAUGUUGAUUAUAUCAAAUGUGAACGGAAAUAUCUCCUGCGGCGAAAAGGGGAAGUGGAGCUCAGCGGGAUCAAAUUGGAUCAACUCAUUUGAGGUUAAUGAGCUUAUCUGCAAAAUAAAGACAAUUAUGAAGCUAUGUACUGAUCGGACACGGAGAAAUAUGCAAUGAGAAAACUUCUUUCUCAGUUCGUUUAUGCUGAAGUAACUAAAGUGAUCUAAGACUAGUAUCAAUUUUUUUAAUGGUAACCCGGCGACCGGCGGUGUGGUUGGAUUUAAGGAGGAAGCCCCUGAAGUUGAUCGGUUCAGGGAAGGAAUAUGGCAGAGGGCAGGGCACCGGCGAUCCAGUGCUCUAUUCAAUUGCCAUGCCGCUCGUUUUCCAUCUGCUCCUGCCAUCUUGUCCAUAGACUACAGCCCAAAGAAGCGUGGAAGGCAUUAGAGUAGCCAUGACUCAUAGGCCACGUCGGAGCCUGCACCAGAGCUGAGAAUAGACUUUGAAGCUCAGUGGUCUGCGGCAGUUGGUUCAGGCCGAGGCAGUGAUGCAGUCUACACAGCCCAUUGGGCUCUAAUGAAUCGUCACCACUUACCAAAAGAGGAUCCUACAAUUUUUCUGACGGUGCUACGGCGGGCUGACGCCAGCAUGAACUAUUUUCAUUAUAAAUAAGAGUGGCAUACAGCAUGAUGGGUACAACAGAUACACCUGACACACACAACAAGGAACAAGGAACAACAACACCCGACACGGAAACAAGGAGCAACAGAAGGACAACCAGAAGCGAGUUAUAACAAGCAGCCAACACAAAGAACUUUGCAAUCAUCACCACGAGCGGACCAAGAAGAGAGGGAGCUAGCUUUGUUGGGUCAGUCAAAGGGAGAUCCGCCACCGAGAAGACAUAGAGAAGAAGUCACCUGUUGUGCAAUCACUCUGCACCUUGAAGAGCUAGGAAGUUGCAACCAUCGUCGAAGGGCAUCCCACUGCCUAGGAACGUCGCGACAGAAAGAGCCGUGCCGAAGGGCAAUAUUCCGCCGAGACAGUCCUACACCUCCUCUGGGCCACACCAUGGCCACCAUCACAAUUAGAGAGAACCAGAGCACUAUGCGAGGCCACCAAACCUCAGACGCCGUCAAAGGAAAUCGAACACCGAGACCUCACUGCCGCCACGAGCCACCAAAAAGAGAGGUCAACCAUCAGCAUAGGAUGACCAAGGCAUUGGUCGCCACCACAGAGCACCUCCACCGCCACCGCCCUAUAAUCCAACAAACUAAGCCAACGCUCCAACCCAGACAUCAAUCAACCAACCAUGGAUCCCUGGCUCCUAAAACAACGCCCCCAAGGGGGAAAACGACAUUAAAGAUGUCAGCAUCGUCUGGUCUCGCCUGGAGCACCGGAAAAUAGCGGGCAAUGGUAGCUCCCCAAUGACAUCUUCAUGAAGGGAAAAAACGCCCGGGGGAGUCGCUAUCAUCGUUGCCGAUGAGGUUGGCACUAGGCUUUCAUCUGAAGCAUCCCGGCCCGGCCGACUCUGCAAACGCCGGCCACCGAGUCCGGCAGCUCAAACCUUCCCCCUCCCACCAGUCCACGGCCACCGUCCCUGCUAGGUCCAGCAAGAGACUUCGGCUAUCGCAUCCGCUCACCUUGAGCAUUUGCGCACAGAGUUGGAUCGGCCUCAGUUGCCACCCGCACCCAUUCCCUCGCCGUCAGCCACACCACCCUACCAGCACACGCCUACCCCACCAACAACAGCCACUACCGACCCCCAGACGCAGCCAUGGUCACUGAUGGCCGUGCAAGCUGGAUCUGGGCAUAGAGAGCCCCUAGACUGCGCACGGCAGCUCACCACAGUCACCACGUCGCAUGAGCCAACAUGCCGCGCUGACCACCAUCUCCGCCAUGCGCCACCAGGCCCCGAUCACGGGCGUGGGGACCGCCGAUAAAUGGAGCAAGCCGCUGUCCAAAGGGAGCUAGAUCUAGGGCUGGAGCUCCUCGUGACAGAGCGGUGUUGGAUCUCCCGGUUGACCGAGCAGUCCGAGACUCCGCACGACACGGCGCCACCACUGCCAAUGCGUGCCCUUGUUCACACGUGAGUUUCCGGCGCCACGUCUGGACAAGAGGAGGGAGAGCCGUCCCCGGCGACACCCUCCGGCGGCAGUGGGAGGAGUAAGAGGGAGGUGGGGUGGGUGUCGGUGGCGGCUGGGGUUUCUCCCGAGCUGCCCGCGGGAGUGACACGGGCAAGAGGAUCCUACAGUUGCAACCUCGUGAUUCUGUUUGGGUCCUUGGGGUUGAUUGUUGGGAUAUUUUAGACAUUUUAUUUGGGUAUCAGAGAGUGAAAAACUAAAUGGGAACGAUUUUUCAAAACAAAAAUCAAUAAUAAUUGCAUAACCAGUGAACUUGCCUUGCUAAGGACAAUAGGCAACUCCUUGCUCUCUUUUUCAACCAUAUAAUCACCAAGGUCGCUGUCUUUGACACCUUCGGUCACAAUGCUGUUCCACACAAAGUACUUGUCAUUGACCUGCAUAUGUUCUGAUGCCUCUUCCUUUCGUUCCCUUGUUACCAUAAGUUUUUGUGUGGACUGUGGUGGCAGGAUUCCUCUUGCUGGCUCUGUGUGACACCAUGCCGCAUUUGUUGGCCUGCUAUAUGUAUUGAAACCAACAUUGUAAUCUGUAAUGUUGACUAUCUUAAUUGAGGACAGCACCUUCUUGUUUGGUAAGAUGGGGAAGAAAAGUUCGGGUGGAUCAAAAUGGAUCAGCUCGUAUGAGGCCGGUGAACUUGUCUGCAAAACAGAACAAACACAUGGAUUAAGCGUAUGCUACUUCUAUAAAUGUAACCACUAAGCAUCAAAAGCUGUAGUGUUCCAAUUCUGUACUCAUUGGCACUUCGUUUGAUUCACUGUUCUUUUCGUAUGCUCUCAAGUAUAUACAUCUCCUAUUAUUCUUGAAUGUUUACCAGUGUUUGUUGUUUGUCUUAAUUCGUAUUUAAGAAGAGAAGAAUAAUCUAAAUAAGCAAGUCAAAAAGUGUUCUGAACUGAAGAGGGUACAAGGAGCUCACUAGCUUAAAAUUUGCCUAACGUAACAGGUUCGGGAGCUCCAAAGGUUCAGUAUGCAAAUGAGUUUGGGGGUAAUUAAUUAAUGGGUAUUUAGAUCUUUCUAGGGGUCAAGAGGAAAAAUACAAGGGUAAACAAAAACAUAAAACAGAGUAACUCACCUCUGUAAGAACAAUGGGCAACUCGGUAAUCUUUAUCUCAGACAUGCUAUCAAUGACAUCAUUGACAUCUUCACUCACAAUGCCGUUCCAGACCAUAUAUUUGUCUUUGCAAUGCAUGUCUGUCAGUUCCUUUUCCUCUGUUAUGCUUGUUACCAUAAGUAAUUGUGUGGACCGUGGUGGCAGAAUUCCUUCUGACGGAUUUGUGAAAUACUUUGCUGAAUUGCUUUUCUUGGUGCAUAUACUGAAACCGAUGAAGUGAUCUGUACGGUUGACUAUGUUCACUGAGGACAACACACUCUUGUUUGGAACCAAGGGGAGAAAGAGCUCAGGAGGAUCAAACUGAAUCAACUCAUUUGAGUUUGUCUGAAAGAAAAAGAAAUAGCUGUGGAUCAAUUGGUCCCAUAAGAACAUUUAAGUAGAGUACAUUAUCUUCCCGUGUAAACUACACAAUCAUUAUCCUUCGACUUGAGUAACCCAAGCAUCAUUGACCAAGAUUCCAAGCAACAUUGCAACAAUACAUUAUUUGUUUCUGACAUAACAACCAUGACAAGCUAAUGGGUAACAUUUAAUAGUUGGCGCUCCUAACAGUCCCCCACCUCUACGCAUGCCUUGUCAUUAAAAACGUUCUGGAAUGAUUUGAUGAACGUAGAGUGUCGGGUUCUCGAAGUGGAGGAUGCAUAUGUUGACUAUUUUUUGGACUUAUUCUGAAGUAGAGUUGAAUUCCAACUUGUGGGAACUUUAUAUCAAAAUAUUUAAUUCAGAAUAAGUAUAAAAAAUAAGAAAUCUGAAUUGAUUUUUUUGGUAAAGGAACAUUUCUUUUCUGAAAGAUUUGUAUGAAAAGAUGGUUUGAACUUUUGGACUAGCUAGUGGGUAGCAUGGUAAUAACGAGUGUUUAAAAAAAAGUAAUAACGGGUGUUCUUAACAUUGUAAUGCCACUAGGUUCAAACAUGGAACAAUUUCAUAUGAUUAACUACUUCCUCAAAGAAUUCAAAAGAAAAAUAUAAUGUUUGGACUAUGGCAAGAAGUCUUAUUCUCGAGAAAUUUAGAGGCAAUGACAGUACAUAUUGCAAAGGUAGUCAUUAGUAAAUGUUCUGCAAGCAGUCCUCAUUGAGCUGCAAAAGCUGAAAAGGUACAAGGAGCCCACUGGCAAAAAUAAUGUACUACCUCCGUUCCAAAAUAUAAGAUGUUUUGAUAGGCUAUUUUAGUCUAUUUUGAAACAGAUUAAGUACAUAGAACUACUGAGAUCACUAAAAGGACAUUGACAAAGGGUUCCAGUAACCACAAUAUUUUUUAAUGAAAGUAACCACAGAAUUUCAGAUGGCAUCAAUUCGCAUGCUUUAGAUCUUAGUUUUAGUUGGAGAGGGAGGCAGGACCGCAGGAGUAUAUAAAAUUAAAAUUGACACAUUACAUUAUUAGGGAACUUACCUCCAUGAAAACUAUUGGUAACUCUUUACUCUCCUUCUCAGAUGUGCAUCCUUUCAGGUCGACAGUGUUAACACCUUCAUUCACAAAGCUGCUCCACACAAUGUACUUGUCUUUGCACUGCGUUUCUUCGAGUGCAUCUCCCUUUUGUAUCCUUGUUACCACAAGUUCUUGUGUGGACUGUGGGGACAGGAUUCCACACGGUGGCUCGGUGUUGUACAAUGCCGCAUUAUUUUCCUUUCCAAAUGUAUUGAAACCGAUGUAGUAAUCUGUAAUGUUGACAAUCUUUAUUAAAGACAACAGAUUCUUUUUUGGCGAGAAGGGGAAGCAUAACUCGGGGGGUACAAUCUGUAUCAGCUCAUUUGAGGUAGAUGGAUUUAUCUGUAGAAAAGAACAUAGCUGUAGAUUAACUGGUACUCCCUCCGUUCCAAAAUAGAUGACUCAACUUUGUAUAAAAUUAAUACAAAGUUGAGUCAUCUAUUUUGGAACGGAGGGGGUACAAACGAAUCAUGCAAUAGGAGAACAUCAUCUUGCAGUGUGAACUACUCCCUCCGUAAACAAAUAUAAGAGUGUUUAGAUCACUAAAGUAGUGAUCUAAAUGCUCUUAUAUUUCUUUAAGGAGGGAGUACAUCAUUCCGCUUUUUUCUAGUAGGGUAAAGUAAUAUUUGAUGACCAAAGUGGGACUCUCCCAUGCAUUAGCAAGAAGACGCGGCAAUAUCAAGAAUCUGAAGGUAGACAAUAACGAUUUGACUGCGGUGAUGUUCUGCCACCUCUGCGACUCGUCGUCAACAAAGCCUUGGAAUUGCCUCGCUGGAUAGAGUCUUCGGUUUUAAUUGUUGGGCUCAUGUCCAUGUAUCUUGACAUGCUUUGGGGUUAAAUCUAGUAUGGACUAAAACUACAUUUUAGUAUUGAUUCCUAUCUCGAAAUUAAACUUGUAAUAAGUAAACAUAUUUUCAUGGGACCAUAUUUUGUAAAAUGUCAAGUUUUUGUAAGUCACUUUAAAAUUUUGCUACACGAAUAGAACCCGCUAGUCUGCAUUACAAUUGGCAUAUACCCCCUUCUAUUCAAAUAAAGAGGAUUGUAUAAAACUCAGACCAAAUGAGAGAGGAGUAAGAAAAAGGAGGGAGUAGUAACUUAUAUAUAGUUCCAAGGUUUAUUAACUCUCUUAAUUACUUGGAUGACCUCACAAACGGUGAUCACUAAUUACCAAUCUAAUCUUUAUGGCUGAGUGGAGAGAGAUGUCCUUUUUUUGAUACUAUGAUUACAAUGACUAUUAAUGAAAAAAUGAUGGUCCAGAUACUCUACAAUGCCCCAUAAUUUGGGUAAAAUUUCUGGCCUGGGAUGCCCUAAAGUACUCAUGUAAAAUAAAUUUCACAUUGUUAAAACUUUGGAUGAAAAUUUUAAAAUUUAGAAUAUGCAAUAUAGACUGAAAAGGCCAAUGGUGAAUAAAAAACGAUUUUUUUCGUGACGAACUAUUAUUAUUAUUAUUUUGAAAUCAUUAUUAAGAAAAUUAUUAGGAAUAAUGAGAGCUUUAACCUUCUAAUCAAACCAGUGUUGAACACAGAACCACUUUGCUUGUUUGGAAAAGCCAAAAAUCAUAUUGAUGUUUUAAAAGAAAAGAAACGGUUUAAAUAAUUAUGAGAAGUCUAAGGAUUUGGAAGAAAUUACAAGUCGGCAUGACAGUGAGGAAUAACAUUGUAGGCCUAGACACUAAAGAACAUAUUGGGUGGCGGUCUAGUGAACCAUCACUGAUUACAGUGUUGUGUGAACCUUAGAUAUGCAGAGGCGGGAGUGAUCUCAGUAUGGUUGUAUCAUCUUGAUGUAAUUGUCUGAGUUCAAUAAAAGCUUCCAUUAUCUAAAAAAUAUAGUGAUGUGUUUUCACUGUGUUGCAAACAUAUCCAUCAUCUAAAGUAGGAACUCACUCAUCCUCCAUUCUUAAAUAGUUGGAACUCACUACCUUUUUUUUUUCUCUUCAUGCAACUAUGCCACAUCAUCAAGUCACAUGCAUGUGGUGAUAAGUUACAAUUUGUGCACUAAUCUAUUAAUGCAACCAUGCCACCUCAGCAAGCAUGCAUGUCAAUUUGUUUCACUAAAUGUUACACGCUACAUUUUUGUACUUGGAGCAAAUAUAUGUAGGUCAUGUUACACAUUUUUUAUUAUUAAAAAUGGCACCCCGUUUGACUUCAACCCAAUAAAUUUGUUCUUUUAUACAACAUUUUAUCAUUGCUUCAUAUACUUCAUUGUCUUCACAAUAUAUUCCAUCAUUGCUUCAUAUACUUCAUUGUCUUCAUUGCUUCAUAUACUUCAUUGUCUUCACAAUAUAUUCCGUUAUACUUCAUUGUCUUCAUUGUCUUAACGAUUUGACUGCGGUGAUGUUCUGCCACCUCUGCGACUCGUCGUCAACAAAGCCUUGGAAUUGCCUCGCUGGAUAGAGUCUUCGGUUUUAAUUGUUGGGCUCAUGUCCAUGUAUCUUGACAUGCUUUGGGGUUAAAUCUAGUAUGGACUAAAACUACAUUUUAGUAUUGAUUCCUAUCUCGAAAUUAAACUUGUAAUAAGUAAACAUAUUUUCAUGGGACCAUAUUUUGUAAAAUGUCAAGUUUUUGUAAGUCACUUUAAAAUUUUGCUACACGAAUAGAACCCGCUAGUCUGCAUUACAAUUGGCAUAUACCCCCUUCUAUUCAAAUAAAGAGGAUUGUAUAAAACUCAGACCAAAUGAGAGAGGAGUAAGAAAAAGGAGGGAGUAGUAACUUAUAUAUAGUUCCAAGGUUUAUUAACUCUCUUAAUUACUUGGAUGACCUCACAAACGGUGAUCACUAAUUACCAAUCUAAUCUUUAUGGCUGAGUGGAGAGAGAUGUCCUUUUUUUGAUACUAUGAUUACAAUGACUAUUAAUGAAAAAAUGAUGGUCCAGAUACUCUACAAUGCCCCAUAAUUUGGGUAAAAUUUCUGGCCUGGGAUGCCCUAAAGUACUCAUGUAAAAUAAAUUUCACAUUGUUAAAACUUUGGAUGAAAAUUUUAAAAUUUAGAAUAUGCAAUAUAGACUGAAAAGGCCAAUGGUGAAUAAAAAACGAUUUUUUUCGUGACGAACUAUUAUUAUUAUUAUUUUGAAAUCAUUAUUAAGAAAAUUAUUAGGAAUAAUGAGAGCUUUAACCUUCUAAUCAAACCAGUGUUGAACACAGAACCACUUUGCUUGUUUGGAAAAGCCAAAAAUCAUAUUGAUGUUUUAAAAGAAAAGAAACGGUUUAAAUAAUUAUGAGAAGUCUAAGGAUUUGGAAGAAAUUACAAGUCGGCAUGACAGUGAGGAAUAACAUUGUAGGCCUAGACACUAAAGAACAUAUUGGGUGGCGGUCUAGUGAACCAUCACUGAUUACAGUGUUGUGUGAACCUUAGAUAUGCAGAGGCGGGAGUGAUCUCAGUAUGGUUGUAUCAUCUUGAUGUAAUUGUCUGAGUUCAAUAAAAGCUUCCAUUAUCUAAAAAAUAUAGUGAUGUGUUUUCACUGUGUUGCAAACAUAUCCAUCAUCUAAAGUAGGAACUCACUCAUCCUCCAUUCUUAAAUAGUUGGAACUCACUACCUUUUUUUUUCUCUUCAUGCAACUAUGCCACAUCAUCAAGUCACAUGCAUGUGGUGAUAAGUUACAAUUUGUGCACUAAUCUAUUAAUGCAACCAUGCCACCUCAGCAAGCAUGCAUGUCAAUUUGUUUCACUAAAUGUUACACGCUACAUUUUUGUACUUGGAGCAAAUAUAUGUAGGUCAUGUUACACAUUUUUUAUUAUUAAAAAUGGCACCCCGUUUGACUUCAACCCAAUAAAUUUGUUCUUUUAUACAACAUUUUAUCAUUGCUUCAUAUACUUCAUUGUCUUCACAAUAUAUUCCGAGAGCAUUCCCAAAUUUGUUUCUGCAAUAGUUUUAGUUUUUUAGCAUCUAUUUAUGCAUUUGCUUUACCAACAUUCCCGCAGCAACACUCGGGGCAUCAUCUAGUAAAAAGAAAGGUAAGGUGCUUGGAGCUAGCUCACUAUCUUGUAUUCUAAAAUCUUAGUUUAAGAUUCGGAGGCCAAAUACACAGGGUAACAAAAAGUAAAACUAAUGCAUUCAAAAAUUAGGGAGCUCGCCUUGGCAAGAACAAUGGGCAACUCUGUAAUCUCUUCGUUGGCAACAUGACAAGUACGGCUGUGGUAGACGGGAAACUCUGUACCAUCUUUAUUCUCCACAACGCAAUCACAGAGGUUGUCAAUGGGCAACUCCGUACCUUCUUCAUUCAACAAAAGGAGAUCACUGGCUUUGACAUCUUGAGUAAGAAUGAAAUUGUGCAGGAAGCACUUGUCUUUGCUCUCGCUAUCUUCUAGUUCAUUCUCCAUUGUUUCUCUUUUCACCACAAGUCUUUGAGUAGACCGUGGUGGCACAAUUCCAUUUCUUGGUUCUGUGUCGUACCACGCCUUAUUUUUUUUCCAGACAUAGUUCUUAAAAUAGAUGGAGUAAUCUGUCAUGUUGACCAUAUUAACCGAGGACAGCGAUGUCUUGUUGGGCAAGAAUGGGAAGCAGAGUUCAGGAGGAUCAAAUCGGAUCAGCUCGUCUGAAGCACAUGGGCUUAUCUGCAAAAAUUAACAGAACUGUGGAUAAGGCACGGAAAACGAAUUCUUGAUUUUUUUUCUUGAAAAAAUGACACGGAAAAUGAUGCAAUGUGAACAUCGCCAUCAGUUCAUUUCUACUGAAACAAAUCAAUCAUCGUUGACCUAUUCAUGAUUUCACAUGGAAGCGAUCUAAGUGUGAAACGCCUUCAGCGUACAAGAUAUAAUUUUUGGAGCAAUUCAGGUUUACUAAUGGGUGAAGUAGCUCUAAAGCACAUCACAAGUCGAGAUGACAGUGAGGAGUGAGGAAUUAAAUUGGCUGCCAUUGAUAUUUUGCAACAUAUUUCCAUUGUGUUUGCAAAGAUAUUUAUCAUGUAAAGAAAACAUGGGUCAAAGGGUUAAUUGUCACCACAAGGAUCAUUCCAUUGGAAUGGAGACCUCAUGAUUCUACUAGAUGGUAUGGGAGGCCAGAGAUAAGGGUAACAAAAAGCAAAACUAUUGCAUUGCAUAAUUAGAGAACUCACCUUCUGAAGAUUUAUGGGCAACUCCUUAGGCACUUCUUCAGUGAUGAAAGGAAUGAGGUUGUCAGCUGCGACACCUUCAGCCACAAUCAUGUUCCACACAAAGAACUUGUUCUCCCACUUCAUAUCUUCUAUUUCUGUUUCUUUUUUCUUUGCUACCCUUUUUAUAAGGAUUCUUUGAGUGGACCGUGGUGGUAGAAUUCCUCGACCCGAUCUUGGGACCACAUUUCUUGUCAACGAAGAUGUAGUUUCUAGAGUCAACAAAGAUGCAAUGAAACCAACAUAGUAAUCUGUAAUAUUUUCUAUGUUAAGCCAUGCCAUUGAAGCCUUGUUUGGCCAGCAGGGGAUUCUGAGCUCAGGUGGAUCAAACUGGAUCAGAUCAUUUGAGGUACAUGGGGUCAUCUGCCGAAAUGAACACAGAUAUGGGUUAAUAUUAAUCUGAGAAACAUGCAAGCAGAGAACAUUACUUGUUCGUUUCAUAUUGAAAUAAAUUGAUCAUCAUUCACAAAGUUGGGACGUUGUGCCACCAGCAACAAUAUUCCCAAUGAGAUGAUAUUGUAUAGUUUUUUGUUUUUAAAAAACCAUGAGCGCUGCUUUCAAUCAUUAGAAAUCGCCAAGGCAACCCGAAGAAAACAAACACGAAAAUCAUAGAGUCCCAAACGCAAACUGAAAAGAGAAAGAAAACAAAGAUUAUACAACUACAAAAAAAAAA